UACGGAGGGUGCAAGCGUUAUCCGGAUUCACUGGGUUUAAAGGGUGCGUAGGUGGGUUGGUAAGUCAGUGGUGAAAUCUCCGAGCUUAACUUGGAAACUGCCAUUGAUACUAUCAGUCUUGAAUAUUGUGGAGGUCAGCGGAAUAUGUCAUGUAGCGGUGAAAUGCUUAGAUAUGACAUAGAACACCAAUUGCGAAGGCAGCUGGCUACACAUAUAUUGACACUGAGGCACGAAAGCGUGGGGAGCAAACAGG
rnacentral:rRNA from 1 species